GGGAACACUUCAUUUACACGUCAUUUACAUGCAGUUUUGGGUGAAAAUUCAGUAUUGCUUUUGCAUGGGAGCCAUGUUUUUAUUUAAAUAAGAUGAGCCCCUUGUACCCCACGUGCAGUAAGACUUAUCAUGGAAUUACAUUACAAUUUUUAACAAAAAUAAUUUCCAGGUUUCAAAGGAAGAAAAAUAGGUUGAAACAAGAAAACAUUCAUAUUUUGCAUAUGGUAAUUCUUAAGAAGAAUUCAGAAGAAUUACAGUCUUGUGUAAUGAGAUUUAGCUUAGAGGUUUAUUACCUUAUCUAUGUCUUAGGUUGAUAGUAGUAAUACAAAUACCAAUAUAAUGCAAACCUUGGAACAGUAAAAUUAUUAUGUAUUGUAUUUACUGGGCAAUUUCAGAGAUUAUUUAUAAAUAUUGUUUCUGAUUUCUGGGUAUAGAGUUAAAAAACAUGGAAUAUGACUUCAUGCGUAUACAAGAAUAAUCCAAAUUUAAAAUGAAAAAACAAAAGAAUAAUAAUCGUCCCUGGAGAUCUCAUCAUACCCAGAUAUUGAAACGGAAGAAAAUUCUUUUUCAAGUCAGAGUUCUAUCAUGUUGAAGAAAUGACUGGAGAACAGAUGAGGUCUCUUUCCUUAGGCGUUAAACAAAUAGAGACAAGUAUUUCACUUAUUUAUGGUGACUAUAAAUGACCAGGGUGAGAAAAUUUUAAAGUAAUUACUGCAAGGAUAAUAUCAAUCACUUUCAGUCCAUUUCUGUUUUUUAAUGGGUGUGUAAAGCAACAGAACAUGCAAUUCGUAGACAGUUCUUUUAAUUAAAGUUGGAGAUGAAAGAGUUAUUUGGGAGCUGUUUCUCUGAAUGAAGAAUAUUGAUAUUUUCAAUUGAAUUCUGAAUUGAGUUUCCAAUAAAUUGGAAUGCAGGGAUUUCUCUCCAACUACAUGGAAUAUUUUAGUUAUUAAUGACCAAUCAUUUCAAGAGUGAAAAGGACUUGAACCAACUUUUGAUGUGAGAGAAAGGAACCAUUGUAUUUCCGUUUUAAGCGUUUAUUCAGCUGUAGUUUGAGACGCAUUAACAAUAAAUAGAUUUCAAAGUUAGAGUGUUGAUAUUAUUAAUUUAUAGUGUAGUUGGCAUUAUUUAACCUGUGUAAUAGCACCUCUGUCCUAUGCCAACUUCAUUUCCACACCUAAGGUUUAGAAAUGUCAUUUCCCUUCAGUAAUUAUGAAGCUGGAAAUGACUCUUUGAACCUGGUUCACGGUUCUUUCUGCUGUUCACAGUCUUCCAUGAAUAUAAAACCCUGGGGUAUGGUUGAUCUGGGGGAAUGUUUAUUUCUGGUCCACACAUCUUGAGAUAGGAUGUGUCAACGGGCCUGCAUUGUAUAAAGGUGCCUGAACACUGUGAGGGGGUUUGUGGUCCCUCACAUAUAAUAAUACCAGAAAAGGUAUUAUUAUAAAGCGGCAGAAGAAAAAUGGAAAAUACAAAAACCCAAAGAAAAUUCCCCCAACAGCACAACAAAAAGAUUUUCUGUAGCCACGGAGAGCCCUUCAGUACCCAAAUCCCACCUGAACAGCGGCGUUCAUUCACACGCCUCACGAACAGCUGAGUGCAGAGCCGGCUCUAGAUAAAAUAGUGAUGCAGGUCUCUGGUUUGUCUUCGGCUUGUUUAGCCUCCCAGGUCAGCACUGUCCUCCCCCCCACCCCGCCCCCCCCAGGAGCUUCACUUCUACUCUUUUUCCAUUUCAGGCACUGAGCAUCCCGUUUGCUCUUUUAAUCCUCAUGUAGGUAGCAAAGCCUGCCCUCCAGGACCCAGAAGCACAGAACCCAGAGCCGUUGUUGCUAAGCCCAGAGACACAGCAGAAUCUGUAAGAAUGUCAACAGAUGCUGUAAGGUCACCUAAUCAGCUGUGUACUUUGCUCAUUUAGGCUAUACUUUCACAUAUGCCCUUUCAGCUCACAUAAAGCAAGAGAAAUGAUGGCUGGAGGUUGGACAUGUAGGGACUGAGGCCAUGAAGAGGGACGCAGAGAUGAAACUUUGUGUGUUCUUGUUUGCUCAUCUUUCUUAAAAAUUGAUUUCACAAAGAAUUUCUUCAUUUUAAUCUUAUAGAACCAACACUUGGCUUUGUUGAUCAUCUCUAUUUUUUUGUGUUUUCCAUUUCAUUCAUUUCUGCACUUAUAUUUUUAUCAACUUCUUUUUUUCCGAAUGUACUAACUUGGAUGCUUAGCUCAUUAACUUUUGGUUUUUAAAUGAUCUAACAUAAGCAUUUAAGGAUAUACAUCUCUGUGUACUAUUGUUGCUACAUCCACAAGGUUUGAUAGGUAGUGUUUUCAUUAUCAUUAAUUUCUGAGUAUGUCUAAAUUUCCAUGACUUUUUUCUUGAGUUAUUAGAAAUUUGUUCUUAAAAGUUUCAAAUAUGUAGGUCCCCCCCGGCCCCCACUAUCGCUUUGCGAUUGGCUUCUGAUCCCUCAGUAUUGAAUUGUUUUGUGGUCAGAGGGCAGGUUCUGUUUGACAUGGAUUUUCUGAAAUUUGCGGAGACUUGCUUGUUGGCCUAGAAUUGUGGUCAGUUUUUAUCAAUGUCCCAUGCAGAUCCUUGGGAAGAAUGUAUACUCUUUACUUGUUGGAUCCAGGCUUCUAUCUGCAUCCAGUGAACUAAACCUAAAAAUGAUGUUGUUCAGAUCAGCUGUGUCUGUGCUGGCUCUUCUUCCUUUGCCCCUCCAGACGUUCUGUCUAAGUUUCCUCACCCUGCUUGUGCUGCAGGAGGCUGACUGUAUGCACUCAAUCAACCCUAGCUUCCUUGGCUCAGCCAUUGGGGAUGUGGGUAGGAGAUCGGAAAGAGGUAGAGAGAAAGGUCCGAAUAUUAACUCAUCCAGCUCCCUCCUUCUUGGGCAUUUCAGCAAAGACUGCAGUCCUCUGAAGAAGGCCACCGAGCUUGUCAGGCACUAUCUCCUUCAGCUACAGCUCUCACUGGUGUUGGUGACCGAGUCUUUUAGGCCUAGGUGGGGUAAGCUGCCCCUGUUGCUAGCCCUGCAUGUGCUUCUGCAUCCAUCCCUGGUUGGGGUCCCUUAACCUCACCCAUACCUUGUGAAUAUUUAAUUAAACUCUCUCUCUUCACCUCAUCUGAGUGUGGCAUCACUGCUCAGAUCUGCUAAGAUCUGACUGAUACAAUCUCUGGACUCAUUUUUGCUGUGUGACUUAAGAACUGAGAGAGGUGGGAUGAGACCUUCCAUUAUGACAGUGGACUUGCUAAGUUCUAUGCUUUAUAUAUUUGGGGGGGCUAUUUUUUAAAGUGUAUACACAUUUAGAUUUGUUCUAUCUUCCUGGUGAAGUGAAUCUUUUGUCAUAAUAUAGUGGCCUUCUCUAUACUUUUUGGUCAGGAUUCUUUAUAUUUUUAAGAAUUAUUGAGAACCCCAGAGGUUUAUGUUUAUAUGGGUUAUAUCCAUAUUUACCAUGUUAGAAACUAAAAAAAGAUUAAUUAUUUAUCAAUUCAUUAAAAAUAAUAGUAAUAAACUCAUUACAUGUGAACAUAACAUUUUAAAAAUUAAAAAGUUCUGUUUUCUGAAACAAAAAAAUUAGCGAGAAGAGUGGCAUUGCUUUACAUCUUUGUAAAUCUUUUUAAAUUCUGGUUUAUUCAAAGAUAACUGAAUUCUCAUUUCUGUUUCUGCAUCUAAUCUGUUGGGAUAUGUUUUUUGGUUGAAGUUGAAGUAUAUGAAAAAAAUCCCGCUUUACAUAGAUAUGUCGUUGGAAAAGGAAGCAGCAUUGUCACAGCCUUUUCAGACAAUCAUGUACAUUCAUCUCUGAUACCACUCUAAAACUCAACAAGGGGUGGUUCCUUACAGGGUGUCUUGGAGGAAGAAAUGAAGUCAUGGCAGUGAGGGCUCAGAGGCAAUGGAAACAGCUGGAAGGAUGGAAAGAUUAGAAAAUUGUGUCCUUAUUGCCUUUUCUCAAAAACGUCUUGUUGUUAACAUUUUAAUAGAGUAAAUGCAAUGAUUAUAUUAUCAUUAAUAUUCUUCUAUUCAUAAAGUAAUUGAUAUAAUAUUCACUUUUUGCCAUGGGGAAUCAAAGUAAUUCACUUUCUUAUUUAUUUAUUUAUAUUUAUUUAAUAAAUUUAUUUAUUUUAUUUAUUUUA